rnacentral:rRNA from 1 species
GAUAACGACCAUAUCACGAUGAAAAUACCAGUUUUCGUCUGAUCACUGAAGUCAAGCAUCGUUGAGCGUGGUUAUAGUACUUGGAUGGGUGACCGCUUGGGAACACCACGUGUCGUUAUCU